UAGCUCAGCUGGUUCAGAGCAUCUGCCUUACAAGCAGAGGGUCGGCGGUUCGAAUCCGUCAACGCCCA
rnacentral:tRNA from 2 species